rnacentral:rRNA from 1 species
AACGAACGCUGGCGGCAGGCUUAACACAUGCAAGUCGAACGCCCCGCAAGGGGAGUGGCAGACGGGUGAGUAACGCGUGGGAAUCUACCCAGUUCUACGGAAUAACCCAGGGAAACUUGGACUAAUACCGUAUACGCCCUACGGGGGAAAGAUUUAUCGGAAUUGGAUGAGCCCGCGUUGGAUUAGCUAGUUGGUGGGGUAAUGGCCUACCAAGGCGGCGAUCCAUAGCUGGUCUGAGAGGAUGAUCAGCCACACUGGGACUGAGACACGGCCCAGACUCCUACGGGAGGCAGCAGUGGGGAAUAUUGGACAAUGGGCGCAAGCCUGACCCAGCCAUGCCGCGUGAGUGAUGAAGGCCUUAGGGUUGUAAAGCUCUUUCAGUGGGGACGAUAAUGACGGUACCCACAGAAGAAGCCCCGGCUAACUUCGUGCCAGCAGCCGCCGUAAGAC